UUAACUUAUUUGUAUAUUACUCAGACAACACAAAAAUCAAGAGUUUUGGGGUCCUCUGGCAGGCACAGACCAGCCAAAGCCGGUGGUCAUGAGACGGGCCUGCCAAAGCAACAAAGGUAUUGUAAACAAAGGGUGGGAGAUAUACCCCGUAAAGGGCAUGUUCUCAGUAAUGAUCCUUCCGCAGGUUCACCUACGGAAA
rnacentral:misc_RNA from 1 species